CAGCGUGGAGCGCACUUCAGCUCCUUUGUCCCCCUCUCUCUGUACCUCCCCCACACAUGCUCUCAAAAGAAGACAUUUAAAAAAUAAUUAAAUAAAUUGACCGACAUCUUCCUUUCAUCUCGUUUUAGUCCCACAGAUUUGUCUUCAGAAUAUGACUGUUUAGAUGUCCUAACAAGCUUAUUACAAUAUCUCACAUUACAAAUUACAAAAUUUCAAUCCUUUCUAUUGUUGUUACUGUCAUGUUAGAUGAAUUCCAUUUAAACAUCUCUCAGUUAAAUUUUAGUACUUUUAUGUGUUAAUUUGGUUCACACCUUCCCAGUUGACACUCUACCCUGCAUUAUUAGCCUUUCUUCAAGAUCACAGUAAAAUCAAUCAGAUUGACUUCACUGGCUUUGGUGUCCCCCAUAUUCGGUGCCUUUAUAGAUAUUUACAGAUAGCUUCAUGUUUCCCUGAUUUGAAGUCAGAAAAAACUUAAUUCUAUUUCUUGUUGGAUAUUAUCUCAAAUGUAUUGCGUGUUCAUUUAGACUUUUAGACUUCUCUGUGAAACAGCUUUCUCUUCCCCACCAUUGUCUUAAACCCUUUUGGUGCAAAAGUUCAUUUCCAUCUUCUCGCAUGACUUAUUUUUAUCCUAGUAGAGUGGGAAGGGCUAAAUUCAAAUAGCAGAUCUGGUACUUGCUUGCUUUGUAACCUGAGAAUUACAGACAAAUACAUGGAGCUUAGGAUAGGGUCUGGUUAGGUAGUAAGGACUUAUAAAUGGUAGCUUUUAAUAAUAUUUUUCUUGUAGCCAAUUGUGACCAUAACCGUGCCAAAACCCAGCUAAAGUAGCCUUGAAUUAACCACAUCUUUUUUCUCCCCUACAUUGUCUCAGUUCUGAGGUACUUUGUUCACACUUAAGUUUACAUGUUGCUUUGUACCUUCUCUCCAAAAGCAGGUUGUAAUAUCCAUUUGUAUCUCUUUCUUCCCCCCCAGGUACCGAAUAUAAUGCAUUGAAUAUAAUGCAUUGCGUGCACAGUAGGCAUUCAGUAAAGGAUGGUGAUUGGCAAGGAAAAUAGCCGUGUAGUUUUCUGAAAUUUACAAGAGGGGAAAAGACAGUUUUAAAAAACAUCCUGAAAAAAUAUUGUCUGCAAUAUUGCAAUAAAUUACUUCAAUGGCAAAAGAAACAUUCUGAGAACACCGUGGUCUUCAAAAGUUGAUACGGUGGAAGCAUAGCUCCAGGAGCUCUCUGAAGGCCUCCAUUAACGGAAGGUAGACCCUUAACAGAGUGGACAGAGCCCUCCCGGAACAGAUUGCUGGGCUGGAGAGCAGAGACGUGAGUUGUGAGUUCUGCUCUCGGUUGUUAAAACACAAACUUCCCAUCUUGGUCCUAAAGUCCUUCACUGUUCAUCCUUCAGAACUCCCGUGUCCUUGGUCAAUGAGGGAAAACCAUUUUUAAAUUAACUUUGACUUAACCAGGUGUUAUUUCAACAUAAACUCUGUAAAUGUUUAAUGAGUACGUAAGAAGGUGUAACAACUGCCUUUGUAAACUGGUGUUUCUAAAAUUUGAGGUUCUGUUUAAAUCAUUUACUUUUCUUAUAAAAAAAUAGAAAACUUCUAAAUAAAUAGAAAAUUUUA